CAAACAUUUGUCAACAAAAUGCAGCAUCAGACAGCACCCAACCUCUAUGGCCGCCCUGUCUUCCCCACCGCUUCUACCCCUUUCCCCUCUACUCCUUGCCAAAAUCCCACAAGAAAAUGAAAACCGUCUCACAAGAAAACAAGGGACAAUGGCUCUUUACUUUUCACUUGAGAUAAGCAUUGAGAUUGAGUAUAGGAAAAAAACAAAAUGGUGUGAACACACGAAUCACCCUUCCCACCUUUAUUCAUUAUCCAUGUAGAAAGAGUAUAAGAUUCCAGCCCAAUUCUGCUGAUAUUGCAGUUCAGUUCACUUGUUUUCAUGUCUAUUCAUCCAAGUUGUAAGAAUCUUUUGUGGGUUUUAAUAGCAAACAAGGAGGGUCACUGAAAAGAUCAACAAGAAAUUGAUCAUGGGGUUGGAGUGGGAAGUGCAAGUCCGGUUCCCGUCGGACACACCUGUCGCCGGCAUUGAGCUGAAUCCAUGGGUCCGUGUCAAUUACAAAGGCUCUUACGUGUCCCCUCCCAACUAUGCCCUCCAGUUUGCUUGGUACAGAGAGUUUUCUACUUUGCCUAAAUGUGUCGAGGACUAUGUAGCUUUCCAAGAUCAUGCUUCUAGAGAUAGUAGUAUGACUAUAUAUGGUGGUGGAUUGAAUCAAGAAAAGCAUGGUUUGCUAAACUCUGAGGGUUUAAAAAUUGUCGAUGGAGAGGGGAAAACUUGGAUUCAAGUAGGUUCUUCAAGAACCUAUACACCUUCAGAGGAUGAUAUUAACUCCAGCCUAAGGCUGGUCUCUGUUGCCAUAGAUGACAUGGGCAUCAAAAUGUCGAUUAAUGUCUUUGUUACUACUCCUGUCAUUAGAUUACCUCGUCCGUAUCCUCGCCAUAUGAUCGUAUUUUGCUCCCUCAGAAAAUUGAGAAAUCCCAAGUGUAUUGCCACACCUUUCAAAGAAGAAAGUUUCAGGGUAUUAUCUUAUAAUAUCCUAGCUGACCUAUAUACUGUAAGUGGUGCAUAUACUCACUGCCCUAACUGGGCACUUACAUGGGAAUAUCGUCGGCGUAAUUUGCUCAAUGAGAUCCUUUCUUAUGAUGCCGAUAUCCUUUGUCUUCAGGAGGUGCAGAGUGAUCAUUUUAAGAAUUUCUUUGAAUCUGAAUUUGCAAAAGUGGGUUAUUCAGCUAUUUAUAAGAGGAAAACCAAGGAGGUGUAUAGUGCCAAUGAAUAUGUAAUUGAUGGGUGUGCAACAUUUUUCCGCCAUGACCGCUUCAAGAUAGUUAUUAAAUAUGAGGUAGAGUAUGACAAAAUGGCACUGCCUGUAAUUGAAGUUCUUGAACCUGAUAAAAGAAAUGAUGGUCUUUUUCGCCUUAUGAAGGACAAUGUUGCACUUGUUGUGAUACUGGAGGAAAAGGACAAUGGACGUUCUCAGGAUGCUGCUAGGUCUACAAUUUGUGUGGCAAAUACUCAUAUCCAUCGUGGUUCGGAUGCUUCUGACGUGAGACUAUUCCAAGUUGUCAAUCUCAUCAGGGGACUUGAAAAGAUUGAUUCUUCAGGCAUUCCUAUUUUGAUUUGCGGUGACAUGAAUUCUCUUCCUGGAAGCGAUCCUCAUCGCUUCCUCAUAAAUGGUGAAGUUGGAUGUUUUAGUGAGAAAUUCAGAGACCCUCUGGGAAUACAUAAACAUCUGAAACUUAGCCACUCGAUGCAUCUGUGGACAAUGUUGUGGCUGUUGAGUUUCCUCCAAUGGUUCACUUUUAAAGACAAAUGUAAGGUUCCUCUUCUAGGCCUGCGCAUAUGCACAUUUACUUGAUUCAAAUGAAGUUGGGCAACACCAGAAGGGAAAAAUGGAUUAUCAAGCAAUGGAGCCUCUUUUCACCUGCUUCAAACCAAGUUUAACUGGAACGUUGGACUAUAUUUUGUACUCAAAAAAUAGGUUGAAGGUUGACGGGCUGUUGAAACUUCUUGAUUAUGAUAGUUUGGAGAAGCGAUUACUGCCUUCACCUCUAUGGUCAUCUGAUCAUGUUGCCCUCAUGGCGAAUUUCAGAGUCAAACGCGCCUCCAGGGGGGUACAGUAUUUAUCACCUCCUCCUGAUCCGUGGGAACAACAAAACAAACAAACUGACGUGUGAAUACUGAAUACUGUCUUUGUAGAAGAAACUUAAUUAGUAUUUUGCAAUCGCUUGGUUGUAAUUAUGGAUGCCAGCGGAAUGCUUUGCAUGACCAAAUCUUGUAUAGCAGUGAACAGCGUAAUUAUGCUUUCAUAGCCAGCCAGCCUCGUUAACGUUUAGCAUGCA